rnacentral:rRNA from 1 species
GGCUCAGAAUGAACGCUGGCGGCGUGCUUAACACAUGCAAGUCGCACGAGAACCCUCAGCUUGCUGGGGUAAGUAAAGUGGCGCACGGGUGAGUAACGCGUGGGUAAUCUGCCCCUGAAUCUGGGAUAACGCUGCGAAAGCGGUGCUAAUACCGGAUGACAUCGAAUUGACUUCGGUUGAUUGGAUCAAAGGUAGCCACUCCAUGGAAGCUACUGUUUGGGGAUGAGCCCGCGUACCAUUAGCUUGUUGGUAGGGUAACGGCCUACCAAGGCGACGAUGGUUAGCUGGUCUGAGAGGAUGAUCAGCCACACUGGAACUGGAACACGGUCCAGACUCCUACGGGAGGCAGCAGUGAGGAAUUUUGCGCAAUGAGGGAAACCUUGACGCAGCAACGCCGCGUGAGUGAUGAAGGCUUUCGGGUCGUAAAGCUCUGUCAAGUGGGAAGAAAUCCCGGGAAGUGAACAGUUUUUCGGGUUGACGGUACCACUGAAGGAAGCACCGGCUAACUCCGUGCCAGCAGCCGCGGUAAUACGGAGGGUGCGAGCGUUAUUCGGAAUUACUGGGCGUAAAGGGCGCGCAGGCGGUCAUGUAAGUCAGAUGUGAAAGCCCGGGGCUUAACCCUGGAAGUGCAUUUGAAACUGUGUGACUUGAGUAUGGGAGAGGGAAGCGGAAUUCCUGGUGUAGCGGUGAAAUGCGUAGAUAUCAGGAGGAACACCCGUGGCGAAGGCGGCUUCCUGGACCAAUACUGACGCUGAGGCGCGAAGGCGUGGGGAGCAAACAGGAUUAGAUACCCUGGUUAGUUCCACGGCAAGGUAAAACGGUUGAUCAACUUGGGGUGUAGCGGGUAUUGACCCCUGCUGUGCCGAACUAACGCAUUAAGUGAUCCGNCUGGGGAGUACGGCC